rnacentral:rRNA from 1 species
UACGGAGGGAGCUAGCGUUGUUCGGAAUUACUGGGCGUAAAGGGAGCGUAGGCGGACAUUUAAGUCAGGGGUGAAAUCCCAGAGCUCAACUCUGGAACUGCCUUUGAUACUGGGUGUCUUGAGUGUGAGAGAGGUAUGUGGAACUCCGAGUGUAGAGGUGAAAUUCGUAGAUAUUCGGAAGAACACCAGUGGCGAAGGCGACAUACUGGCUCAUUACUGACGCUGAGGCUCGAAAGCGUGGGGAGCAAACAGG